AAAAGCGCGGCAUUUUAUGUACCGAAUCGCGAGAGAUCGGACGUGGAGGUAUAUACGCGCAAGUUGCAUGCCCUGGCAGGGGCUGAACCUUAAAUAUUUUGUGUUGGAGGGUUUUCUGCAAAAGUCCACUUGUAUAUAUAGUGGUAGUUAGGGUUUUUGGGCACGAAACCUAGAUCGAGUCACCUUCCUCCCCCAGCAAACCCUAGAUGACUUCAACCCAUCCCUGCCCUCGUCAUGCGCGCGCCUUGGCCGCCGGCAAGCCUGCGGUCGCCGGAGGGACUCCCCGGCUUCCCCCUCUACUUUCUCUCCCUCUCCAUCUCUAUCUCUCUCUCCCUCUCUCUUAUCUCGGGUUGUGAGGAAGCCCGAGACU
rnacentral:lncRNA from 1 species